UACGUAGGGUGCAAGCGUUGUCCGGAAUUAUUGGGCGUAAAGAGCUCGUAGGCGGUCUGUCGCGUCGGCUGUGAAAACUCGGGGCUCAACUCCGAGCUUGCAGUCGAUACGGGCAGGCUAGAGUUCGGCAGGGGAGACUGGAAUUCCUGGUGUAGCGGUGAAAUGCGCAGAUAUCAGGAGGAACACCGGUGGCGAAGGCGGGUCUCUGGGCAUUAACUGACGCUGAGGAGCGAAAGCAUGGGGAGCGAACAGG
rnacentral:rRNA from 1 species